AUACGUAGGGGGCGAGCGUUGUCCGGAAUGAUUGGGCGUAAAGGGCGCGUAGGCGGCCUGUUAAGUCUGGAGUGAAAGUCCUGUUUUCAAGAUGGGAAUUGCUUUGGAUACUGAUGGGCUUGAGUGCAGGAGAGGUUAUCGGAAUUCCCGGUGUAGCGGUGAAAUGCGUAGAGAUCGGGAGGAACACCAGUGGCGAAGGCGGGUAAAUGGACUGCAACGGACGCUGAGGCGCGAAAGUGUGGGGAGCAAACAGGAUUAGAUACCCUGGUAUUCCACGCCGUAAACGAUGAAUACUAGGUGUCGGGUUUCUAUAGAGAUUCGGUGCCGCAGCAAACGCAAUAAGUAUUCCGCCUGGGGAGUACGUUCGCAAGAAUGAAACUCAAAUGAAUUGACGGGG
rnacentral:rRNA from 1 species